rnacentral:rRNA from 1 species
AACGCUGCCGGCGUGCUUAAGACAUGCAAGUCGUGCGGGAGAGGAGCUUCGGCUCCGAUUCAGCGGCGCACGGGUGAGUAACACGUGGGUAAUCUACCUCCAGGUCUGGAAUAACCUCGGGAAACUGGGGCUAAUACCGGAUAAGACCACGAGGUCCUCGGGCCUCGCGGGAAAAGAUGGCCUCUGCUUGCAAGCUAUCCCCAGGAGAUGAGCCCGCGCCCCAUUAGCUAGUUGGCGGGGUAACGGCCCACCAAGGCGACGAUGGGUAGCUGGUCUGAGAGGACGACCAGCCACACUGGAACUGAGACACGGUCCAGACUCCUACGGGAGGCAGCAGUCGGGAAUUUUGGGCAAUGGGCGAAAGCCUGACCCAGCAACGCCGCGUGAGGGAUGAAGGCCUUCGGGUCGUAAACCUCUGUCGGGAGGGACGAAAGGCGCGCGGGUGAACAAUCCGCGUACUUGACGGUACCUCCAAAGGAAGCGCCGGCUAACUCCGUGCCAGCAGCCGCGGUAAUACGGAGGGCGCAAGCGUUGUUCGGAAUCAUUGGGCGUAAAGCGCGUGCAGGCGGCUUGGUAAGUCGGGUGUGAAAUCCCGGGGCUCAACCCCGGAACUGCACCCGAUACUGCCUCGCUCGAGUCCCGGAGAGGAUGGCGGAAUUUCCGGUGUAGAGGUGAAAUUCGUAGAUAUCGGAAGGAACACCAGCGGCGAAGGCGGCCAUCUGGACGGUGACUGACGCUCAGACGCGAAAGCGUGGGGAGCAAACAGGAUUAGAUACCCUGGUAGUCCACGCUGUAAACGUUGGGUGCUAGGCGUCGUGGGUAUUGACCCCCGCGGUGCCGAAGCUAACGCAUUAAGCACCCCGCCUGGGGGAGUAC